GGCAAAUGAACCGGGAAGAGCCCAACAUGAAAAUCAGGUGGCAGCGUCGCCUGAAUUGUAGUCUGUAGAAGCGUCCUUAGCGGCAAACCGGGCCCAAGUCCCCUGGAAGGGGGAACCUAAGAGGGUGACAGCCUUGUCGGGCCAGGACCCUACCACACCAUAAGGUGUUUUCUAUGAGUCAGGUUGUUUGGGAAUGCAGCCCUAAUCAGGUGGUAAAUUCUGUCCAAGGCUAAAUACGGGAGAGAGACCGAUAGCAAACAAGUAUCGCGAGGGAAAGAUGAAAAGGAAUUUGAAAAGAGAGUUAAAGAGUGCUUGAAAUUACGAGGAGGGAAGCGGAUGGAGGCCGGCGAUGCGUCUCGUUCAGAUGUGGAAUGGAUCAAGCUGGUUCGCCACUUGACUCAAGGUGCGAACCAGCACAAGCCAUUGCAUUGACACAAGCACGGGUGGAGUACUGCCUAUUGGUUUUCCAUUGUAACAGUUGAGGAACGAAGCGUGCACCCCUGGGGGUGGGCCAUUGUGCACCUGCACACUCGUGGUGUUGGUUGGCGGGAUUUCCAUUUGACCCAUCUUGAAACACGGACCAAGGAUUCUAACAUGUGUGUGAGUCGGUGGGUUUGCAAACCUACGAGGCGUAAGGAAGCUGAUGGGUGAGAACCCCUCUCCAUGGGGUGCAUUGCCGACCGACCUUGAGCUUGUGUGAAGGGUUCAAGUGCGAGCACACCUAUUGGGACCCAAAAGAUGGUGAACUAUGGCUGAGCAGGGUGAAGCCAGAGGAAACUCUAGUGGAGGCCCGUAGCGAUACUGACGUGCAAAUCGUUUGUCUGACUUGGGUAUAGGGGAGAAAGACUAAUCGAACCAUCUAGUAGCUGGUUUCCUCUGAAGUUUCCCUUAGGAUAGCUGGAGCUCAUGUGCGAGUUUUAUCGGGUAAAGAAAAUGAUUAGAGGCAUCGGGGGUGUAACGCCCUCAACAUAUUCUCAAACUUUAAAUAGGUAAGACAGUGCGGCUGCUCCAUUGAGCCAUGCCACAGAAUUGAGAGCUCUAAGUGGGCCAUUUUUGGUAAGCAGAACUGGCAUUGCGGGAUGAACUAAAAGUCGAGUUAUGGUGCUAAACUACGCGCUAAACCAUAUCCCACAAAGGGUGUUGGUUGAUUAAGACAACAGGAUGGUGGUCAUCGAAGUCAAAAUCCGCUAAGUAGUGUGUAACGACUCACCUGCCGAAUCAACUAGCCCCGAAAAUGGAUGGCGCUGAAGCGUGCGACCUAUACUCAAUCGUCGAAGCAAUUGCCAGGCUUCGAUGAGUAGGAGGAUGUGGGGGUCAUUGAGAAACCUUGGGCGUGAGCCUGGGUGAACCAGUCCCCGGUGCAUAUCUUGGUGGUAGUAGCAAAUAUUCAAAUGAGAACUUUGAAGACUGAAGUGGGGAAAGGUUCCAUGUGAACAGCACUUGGACAUGGGUUAGUCGAUCCUAAGAUAUGGGGAAGCCCUAUAUCAAGGGUGCACUAUGCACGAACAUAGAAAGGGAAUCGGGUUAAUAUUCCCAAACCGGGACAUGGCGACAGACGACAACCUUAGGAAAUCCGAAGACGUCAUUGGGGGCCCCGGGAAGAGUUAUCUUUUCUUUUUAACAGCUUGCCCACCCUAAAAUCAGCUCAAUCGGAGAUAGGGUCUAACAGCUGAAAAUGCAUCGCACGUCUUGCGGUGUCUGGUGCACCCUCGGUGGCCCUUGAAAAUCUGGAGGACUGAGUUUUGUCCAUGCCCGGUCAUACUCAUAACAACAUCAGGUCUCCAAGGUAAACAACCUAUGGUCAAUAGAACAAUGUAGGUAAGGGAAGUUAGCAAAACAAAACUUUAACUUCGAGAAAAGGAUUGGCUCUGAGGGCUGGGCUUGGGGGUCUACGUCCUCAAC
rnacentral:ncRNA from 1 species